rnacentral:rRNA from 1 species
AUGUUUUGGUGGGGCAGUAGGAGAGGCAAGAGGAAAACCACUUGGAUAUCAUGGAAGACUAUGCCAAUACCCAAUUUUAUGGGAGGUAUGGGCUUUCAAGAUAUCGAAUUGUUUAGAUUUUCGCUUCUUAUGAGACAAGCAUGGAGAUUAAUGCAAGAACCAGACUCCCUCAAUGCUCAAGUCUUAAAAUCAAGAUACUACCCUGACUGUGACCCUUUGGCAACGAACAUGGGAUUGAUCCCUUUGUAGGUUUGGUGGUCAUUAAUGGAGGGAAGUGAUGUACUGUCACUCAGAUUGAUCAAGUGGAUAGGGCCGAGGGAAGGAACCAGUAUUUGGAGUGACAAUUGGUUGCUAAGGGACUUUAAACUUCGGCCCAUUUGUGCACUUACACAAGACCUAUCAAUGCUUGUUUCAAAACUGAUAAAUGGUGCAACCAAAUAUGGAAUAAGCAAUUGCUAA